CGGCUUUGUUACUAUCAGCACGACUGUUUUGUUCAGGUUACAAUAAUAAUUUACUAAUGACACACUUUUGUCCCUUGAGUCUGUGUGUUAUCUAAUAAAGACCAAUAAAGAUAGGGCGAAUACAAACUUUUAAAGAGCCGAUCUGAUUGAUGGUUCGUAUUAUGCUGACCAGAGGAGGGCGACAAAAUAUUGAUUUUGAAAACUACAGAUCCGGAGAAAUUGAAUCCAUCAAGUGACUUCCCAAAAGGAAAUGCUUUCUAAGAAAAAUAUAAGACUGGCUUAGUUCAAUUGAACACAUGAGUAGCUGAGUGGAUCAAGGGGCAUCACCUUCCAUAAGGAUGUAUAUUAGCCUGGGAACACCAGACGCUGGAAGAGGACCAGGAAACAAACAACCCAACAGCAUGUUUUAAUGGAAUUGGGGAAUGUUGGAUAAUGGAAGUGAAUCUAUGAAUACAUGGUUUUCUGGACAAAGGAAACAUGACAGAUUUGCUUACAUGGACACAGUGAUGUGUUACACAUACGAAUGUUCUUUACCACUUUAAGGCUCACAGGUAGCUCAUACUAGAAAUUCCAUCAAUAAGAAAUGCACUAA